rnacentral:lncRNA from 1 species
GCCUCUUCCAGACCAGGUCUUUGGUGUUGACCACAUACAUCACCUGGUGAGGAAAGGCUCUUCCUCCCACUCUCGGUCUGGUCUCUGUAGAGUUCCCGAGGCCUGGUGUGACAUCACAACCUUUUGAUCCUGGAGCAUGGGAAGCAAGUAGAUUCUAUGACCUGCAGGCCACCUAGGGCUACUUUAAAAAAAAAAAAAAAAAAAAAACCUUCGUUAUGGAAUUACGUGAUUUGCUUAAAAUUUGGUCUCUGUUGAAAAUUUUUCCACUAAUUUAAAAAUCUAUAAAUUACCCUACCUACCUUUCUAGGGCUCACACAGAAUCCACCUGCCCCAUUGCGUAUGAAGUCAAAACUGGCUUCCCAGUACAGUGCUUCCUUGGAAGAAGGGAGAGAAUUAACUUUUUCCACCGCUGUGCCUUUGAGCCUCUUUUCGGGUCUGUACAGCGUUCGGUCGACUCAUGAGUCUUAGACACCCACUGAAGCGUUCAUUCCUCGGGGCUUGAUCCCUCAGUUCUUCUGUGGGAGAGGAAAAACUGAGGGAUUCUCUUGCCAUUGGCUAUAUGGAACUCGGAAUGCUUGGUGUAAGAGGCUGUGUGUGUGUACAUGUGCACACACGCUAAUGAGGCUUUUCUGUCCUCUUGCUCACUAGAUGGUGUAACUCUGGGCUGCAUAUUGGCAGAUGCUAGACCAUGGCAAGUGAGAAAGCAGAGUGCAUCUGUCUGCCAGGUCACUGACUCACAGGCUAGGGCUUGGCAGGGAAAGGGCGUGGCGUGGAGAACCUGCUGAUUGCCCUAAUAACCACAGUGUGACUGCUUGUGAACAACCAGAGCCAAAUAAAAUGCUUCAUGGACUUGGUGGUUGGUCUGGUAUAUUUCUCAGCCAUUUGCCCUUUCCAUUUUUUUCUUCACAGAGAAGACUGUGGACUAGCAAAGAAAGUAAUUUCAGUUUCAAAUUGUGUAUUUUCCAUAAUUCAGAGGCAGAUGGUCUGGUGGGCAAACCAGAACAAAGUAAUAUAUCUACUUGAUACGAAGGCUCAGGACUGUUAUUUAGCAUUUAUAGCAAUGAGACAUCAAAAUUAGCCAAUGUGAAAGGUGUUUGGGGUUAGAGCACAGCAGAGAUCCUUAAGGAAGACAAGAGGAGGAGUGACAGACAUGUGAGUAUAGGAGCCAGGUAGUGUGCUCCCAGCUCCACACUGAGGGCCGUGAGCCCUUGCCUGUGCUACUUCUGCCUCAUCUGUUAGGAUCUUAGUAUUAGGAGGGGCUUCUGCUCCCAGCUGCUGGUAUCCAGGUCUCAGUGCAUGCCUGGAUUUGUAUUUCUGUAUUUUUCAAUCUUUAGCAUGCAUUUAGCAUAGUAAGGGGCAGCUUGUAGAUCGUGCUGCCUGCCUGUUGUCUGGGUCGAGACGCUCACAUCACUUGUGUUCUUCUGGACUCAUGCGGUGCAGUGAGAACCAGUGUUCCCCUCAGUUAGAAAUUGGGAAACGACCUGCAGAGGUCAUAGAAGCCAAGUUAUUGUUUUCUUGAGUCUGGCCUCACUGCCACGCUACAGGUGACUAGUCCAUUUCUCAGAAGGAGGAACAAGGUCUAGAAGGCCACCGCGCAUAGCUAAGAGGGUCACGCAUCUCAGCACAGGCUUUCUUAAUUAUGGCUGCCCU